GUGCUCUCUUCAGCACAUAUACUAAAAUUGGAAUGAUACAGAAAAGAUUAGCAAAGCCCCUGCGCAAGGAUGACAUGGCAAAUUUGUGAAGUGUUUCAUGUUUUU